rnacentral:rRNA from 1 species
UACGUAGGUGGCAAGCGUUAUCCGGAUUUAUUGGGCGUAAAGGGAACGCAGGCGGUCUUUUAAGUCUGAUGUGAAAGCCUUCGGCUUAACCGGAGUAGUGCAUUGGAAACUGGGAGACUUGAGUGCAGAAGAGGAGAGUGGAACUCCAUGUGUAGCGGUGAAAUGCGUAGAUAUAUGGAAGAACACCAGUGGCGAAAGCGGCCCUCUGGUCUGUAACUGACGCUGAGGUUCGAGAGCGUGGGUAGCAAACAGG